GGGCUGCAGUAUAUUGACUGUACAAAGGUAGCAUAAUCAUUAGUCAUUUAAUUGAUGACUUGUAUGAAGGAUUGGAUGAAAUAUAAACUGUCUCUUUAUUAAUAAUAGAAUUUAAUUUUUUAAUUAAAAAGUUAAAAUAUUUUAAAAAGACGAGAAGACCCUAUAGAGUUUUAUAAAUAAAAUAAUUAAGAUUAUUUAAUUUAAUAAAAUUAAGAUUAUAUUAUUUAUUUUGUUGGGGUGACAGAAAAAUAUAUUUAACUUUUUUUUUAUUUAAAACAUUUAUAAGUGGUUAAAUGAUCCAAUAUUAUUGAUUAUAAGAAAAAAUUACCUUAGGGAUAACAGCGUAAUUUUUUUUUUUAGUUCAAAUAAGAAAAAGAGUUUGCGACCUCGAUGUUGGAUUAAGAUAAAAUUUAAAUGCAGAAG
rnacentral:rRNA from 1 species